rnacentral:rRNA from 1 species
UACAGAGGUCUCAACCGUUGUUCGGAUUCAUUGGGCGUAAAGGGCGCGUAGGCGGCUUGUACAGUCAGACGUGAAAUUCCUGGGCUCAACCUGGGGGCUGCGUUUGAUACGUGCGGGCUUGAGUUCGGAAGAGGGUCGUGGAAUUCCCAGUGUAGAGGUGAAAUUCGUAGAUAUUGGGAAGAACACCGGUGGCGAAGGCGGCGACCUGGUCCGAUACUGACGCUGAGGCGCGAAAGCGUGGGGAGCAAACAGG